rnacentral:rRNA from 1 species
AUUGAACGCUGGCGGCAUGCCUUACACAUGCAAGUCGAACGGCAGCACGGGUGCUUGCACCUGGUGGCGAGUGGCGAACGGGUGAGUAAUACAUCGGUACAUGUCCUGUCGUGGGGGAUAGCCCGGCGAAAGCCGGAUUCAUACCGCAUACGAACUACGGAUGAAAGCGGGGGCCCGUCGGGCCUCGCCCCAUUGGGUUGGCCGAUGCCUGAUUAGCUAGUGGGUGGGGUAAAGGCUUACCAAGGCGGCGGCCAGUAGCGGGCUCGAGAGGAAGACCAACCAGAUGGGGACUGAGGCAGGGCCCAGACUCCUGCAGGAGGCAGCGGUGGGGAAUUUUAGACAAUGGGCGAAAGCCGGAUCCAGCAAUACCGGGUGUGUGAAGAAGGCCUUAGGGUUGGAGAGCACUGUUGUCCGGAAAGAAAUCCAUGGCCCUAAUACGGUCGGGGGAUGACGGUACCGGAAGAAUAAGCACCGGCUAACUACGUG